rnacentral:rRNA from 1 species
UAAGAGGUCCCGCCUGCCCUGUGACUAUACGUUUAACGGCCGCGGUAUUUUGACCGUGCGAAGGUAGCGCAAUCACUUGUCUCUUAAAUGGGGACCUGUAUGAAUGGCAUAACGAGGGUUUAACUGUCUCCUUUCCCAAGUUAAUGAAAUUGAUCCCCCCGUGCAGAAGCGGGGAUAAAGACAUAAGACGAGAAGACCCUAUGGAGCUUCAGGCAACAAGCAGACCGUAAUAAACACCCCUUAAAAAGGAACAAAACAUACGUAACCUGACCCAAUGCCUUUGGUUGGGGCGACCGCGGGGAAACAAAAAACCCCCAUGUGGAAUGAGACCACUCAUCCUCCAAAAAACGAGCCUCGCUCUAAAAAACAGAACAUCUGACCUACAAGAUCCGGCAAAGCCGAUCAACGAACCGAGUUACCCUAGGGAUAACAGCGCAAUCCCCUUAUAGAGCCCAUAUCGACAAGGGGGUUUACGACCUCGAUGUUGGAUCAGGAUAUCCUAAUGGUGCAGCCGCUAUUAAGGG